UCAAUGGGAGAAAUCCUGAAGCAGCAACGCCGCGUGGAGGUUGAAGGGUCUAUGACUUGUAAACUCCUGUAAAGAAGGAAAAAAUUCCCAUUUGAUGGGAAAUGAUGGUACUUCUGGAGUAAGCCCCGGCUAACUACGUGCCAGCAGCCGCGGUAAUUCGUAGGGGGCAAGCGUUGUCCGGAUUUACUGGGUGUAAAGGGUGCUCAGGCGGAUUUGUAAGUCAGAGGUGAAAUCUUACAGCUUAACUGUGAAACUGCCUUUGAUACUGCAAGCCUAGAGUAUGGAAGAGAGUGAUGGAAUAUCUAGUGUAGCAGUGA
rnacentral:rRNA from 1 species